CUCUUUUUUUUUUUUUUGCACAUGACACUGUAAGCUUAGUUCUGAGAAACUGGGGAAGAGAGACCAGUAUUUCUCAGCCAGAACUAACAGCGUUCAUCUCCCUUAGCACGAACUGAACUUGCAGUGGAGUGGGAGGGCUUGACAGAAGGAGGAGAGAAGGGACUAUAUUUGAAUAGGUAUUAAUAAAUUUAUUAGAUACUUUUCACAAUCAGAUAACUUUAAAAUAUUAUUUUUAUCUUCUAAGGACAUAAGCCUUAACAACAUCAACAUUUGAAGAUAUUCCCCAAUAAUAAGUUUAUAUAUAUAUAUACAUAUAUAUAUUUGAAAUAAAAAAAAUUGUUAGCCAUGUUUUUUGCUCCAGGAUGUGUGGCCAUUCCAGGCUGUGAGCCCUGGGUAUGCACACAAAUAAGCCUGUGUGCUCUGAAGACCCCCGCACAUUGUAAUAAACACAGCUGCAUUUAUUUGAGUAUGUGCUCCCAUGUACGUGUAAAAACACUCAAACAAACACACUCGGCAGAUUUAUGUCAUGUGCAAACGGGGCAAUUAUUCAAAUAAAUAUGCUCAAUACAAUUAUUUGAGUCUCGCAUCGCAUGCUCACCACUCACAGCACUAACACUAAAAGAGGGGGAAACACCAAAGAAUUUACGUGGGGGAAAAUAUAUGUGAAAACAAUGUUAUUGUAGAUGUUCUAAGGUAGCUAAGGCUGUGGCUCCCUUCUUAACUGAAACGCAAUGAUUUUGUACUCAGUGGCAUUUGUUUCUAACGAUGACUAGAACUUCACUCGCUUGAUCAUUACAUCAGAAUGACGACAGAAUUUGGAUUCAUGUAAUAGCAAACUUUCUGAAGCAGAUAGGGAUGACACAUCUCUAUAUUUCAAAAGCGGAACAGUCCUUUCUGCCUCCCUUACAUCAGUGGAAUGCUGAUGCAUUAUUACGGCUCACAUACGACGUAGCUAUAAAUUUAAAAUGUUACACACACAUAGAAAAAAAAAACAUUCCUACAUUUUAAACCAUUAAAAAGUCACAGAUGACUCGUGUGAUCAUUUUAUAUAUUAAUAAAUACUACAAUAUAUACGCGAACACAUCACAAAUCACAUUGGUGAACCUAGAGGCUGCAGUGCCUCUCUUCAGUAUACUGACAUAACCUGAUAUACUAAAAUGGGAAGGGGCUUUUAGUCACUGAAUAUGCAUCGUGAAACAAAGACGAAGAAAAUACAUGACGUGUUCCCAUCAUGAAAAAGAUUCAUACUGAAGGCUUAGCUUUGGUUUUUAUUCAAUUAAAUUGUCAAACUGUGCACAGUGAACUUUUUUUUUUUUUUUAGAACUUGAGACAUUUGUGAUGUUGGCUGUUUAAAUCUUUGUUACCUUCGCUGUGAAUUGAAAUUGUACAUAUUUAGUAAAUCAUGCAAACAAAACCAACUUUUUAGACAAUAUUUUUAUUGGAGAGUUUUCUUUUCCUGUAUCCAUGUUUUAAAAAAAAAAGACCUCCUUUCCCAAAAUAAAAGAUGUCAAUACUAAAUUUAAAGAAGUAUAAAGGAAUAAUUGCUUCCUUUAGAGCAAAUACUUAAAUAAAUAUGGAGAGAAUUGGCAACAUGUUCGUUUGGGGCUAAUAGGCUGUGUUCAAUUUUUUGGGGGGGGGGUUAAAGUUUCAGAAGGCCUCUGUUUCACAUUUGAAGAUAAUAUAUUAAUCUCUGAAUUAAACAAAUGCUCUUAAGCAACAGG
rnacentral:lncRNA from 1 species